CUGUUUGUUCCUAGUUGUUGUAACAAAUUUGGAACAAGCUGUUAACAGCUUGUAACUGCAAGCUUGAUGACAUUAUCAGACUUGUUACAAGGUUGUUCUAACAAGUCUGAUACAAUCAUCAUAUAACAAGAAUGUUACAAACUUGACGACACAAGGUUGUUACAAUAUUGUUAUGCCAAGACUGUAUCGGACUUGUUGGAACAACCUUGCGACAAAUCUGAUAAUAUCAACAAGGUUGUUACAAGUUGUUAACAGCUUGUUCCAUGUAUUUGUUGACAACUUGUGACAAGCAG